rnacentral:siRNA from 1 species
ACAUUUUCCUUUUUGGAUGUC